UCAUUGUAUAUUAGGGAGACUUUAUUCUUAAUAGAUUCAUAUGUUCUUAAUUAUAUUAGUCAUUGUCUACUUUGAUUAUAUGUCUAGGAUAGUUGGUUUGAUCUUAUUAAUUUCAUAUAAAUGCUCGUAUAGCGUUUACCUAAUCGAUUGUUGGGUAGUUGAUAGACAAUAUGUAGAUGUGGUGUCUAGAUAUCUUGUUUGUCUGCGAGUGCCCCCUGACGUGCCAGGUCGUGUGGUAGUCCAUGUAGAUGACAACUGUGUUGGUUUCUCUAUAGUCCACCCUCCGUACGUAGGGCUAGCAUGUUCGCGGUCGCGAAGGAGGUGACGGUUGCGUCUUAAAACCCUC
rnacentral:lncRNA from 1 species